rnacentral:rRNA from 1 species
AUUGAAUGCUGGCGUCAUGCUUUACACAUGCAAGUCGAACGGUAACAGGGAGCUUGCUCCGCUGACGAGUGGCGAACGGGUGAGUAAUGCGUCGGAACGUGCCGAGUAGUGGGGGAUAACGCAUCGAAAGGUGUGCUAAUACCGCAUACGUACUGAGGUAGAAAGUGGGGGACCUUCGGGCCUCACGCUAUUCGAGCGGCCGACGUCUGAUUAGCUAGUUGGUGAGGUAAAGGCUCACCAAGGCGACGAUCAGUAGCGGGUCUGAGAGGAUGAUCCGCCACACUGGGACUGAGACACGGCCCAGACUCCUACGGGAGGCAGCAGUGGGGAAUUUUGGACAAUGGGCGCAAGCCUGAUCCAGCCAUGCCGCGUGUCUGAAGAAGGCCUUCGGGUUGUAAAGGACUUUUGUCCGGGAGCAAAUGCUGGUGGCUAACAUCCACCGGAGCUGAGAGUACCGGAAGAAUAAGCACCGGCUAACUACGUGCAGCCGCCGCCGUAACAC